GACGAACGCUGGCGGCGUGCUUAACACAUGCAAGUCGAACGAUGAAGAAAAGAAUUGAAGCUUCGGCAGAAAUUCAUUUCGGAUUAGUGGCAGACGGGUGAGUAACGCGUGAGCAACCUACCUCUUACAAAGGGAUAGCCUCGGGAAACCGGGAUAAAUACCAUAUAACAUUGCGACGAAGCAUUUCGAUGCAAUCAAAGCUACGGCGGUAAGAGAUGGGCUCGCGUCCCAUUAACCAGAUGGUGAGGUAACGGCUCACCAUAGUAACGAUGGGUAACCGGCCUGAGAGGGUGAACGGUCACACUGGAACUGAGACACGGUCCAGACUCCUACGGGAGGCAGCAGUGGGGAAUAUUGCACAAUGGAGGGAACUCUGAUGCAGCGACGCCGCGUGAGUGAUGAAGGAAUUCGUUUCGUAAAACUCUGUUCUAUGGGAAGAAAAGGACUGUACCAUAGGAGAAAGCUCCGGCUAAAUACGUG
rnacentral:rRNA from 1 species